UCUGUAGCUCAGUUGGAUAGAGCAACGGCCUUCUAAGCCGUGGGUCGGGGGUUCGAAUCCCUCCAGUCG
rnacentral:tRNA from 1 species